AACCUCGGAUCAGGUAGGGAUACCCGCUGAACUUAAGCAUAUCAAUAAGCGGAGGA
rnacentral:rRNA from 1 species